AGCGCAGGCGGGAAGACAAGUUGGAAGUGAAAUCUAUGGGCUCAACCCAUAAACUGCUUUCAAAACUGUUUUUCUUGAGUAGUGCAGAGGUAGGCGGAAUUCCCGGUGUAGCGGUGGAAUGCGUAGAUAUCGGGAGGAACGCCAGUGGCGAAGGCGGCCUACUGGGCACCAACUGACGCUGAGGCUCGAAAGUGUGGGUAGCAAACA
rnacentral:rRNA from 1 species